CUUCUUCCACAUUCUUUUAUAGGACCUGGAAGGAAGGGAGCGCCCUGGAGCUCUGGCAUAGGGUUUGUGGACGCGCGCGUGGAUAGCGGCGUCUUGGCGCGCUUUAGAGGAGCGAAAUCUUUCGGUGCGCAGCAGCUAUGGGGAGUCAAGAGAUGCUACUCCAGAGGUACCGGCGUGACAGGAGGGAACUUCUCUCGUUCAUUCUAUCGGCUAGCAUUUUCCGCAAGGUGGUCAUGCCUCCCGGAGCUGUCACUCUUGACGAUAUUGAUCUAGAGCAAGUUAGCAUUGAUUAUAUCCUGGAAUGCGCGAAGAAAGGUGGAAUUCUCGAGCUUUCGGAGGCGAUUAAAAAGUUUCACGAUGAUGCUCACAUUCCAGCGGUGGCAAAUUCUUUAAAGGGUGACAUCUAUUAUCUCGUUACAGAUCCGCAAGUUUCAGGUCCACCUCCUAUGCGCUCGGUCCCUGCGCCUGCGGCAUUGAGUCCACCAGUCGCAAAAUCAUCGCUAUCCAAGUCUAUAUCUAUACAGUCAACUCCAUCGCAGCAAAUCUCCGUUGAUGACGAGAUUGAUGAUUUUGAAGAUGACAAUGAGGUGACGGGGGAGCUGUCAAGAAGAAAGCUAAAUGACGCGAGUGACCUCGUUUUGAAACUUCCUCCCUUUGCUACUGGUUUAUCCGAGGAUGAUUUGCGUGAGACUGCUUACGAAGUUCUUCUUGCAUCAGUUGGUGCGACAGCGGGUCUUGUUGCACCGCCCAAGGAAAAGAAAGAGGAAAAAAAAAUGAAGCUCGUGAGGAAGUUUACCAGGAGUAAGUCCGAAAAGCACAAACCCGAGCCAACAAAAGCACAGGGGCUUGCUGGUUUACUGGAACUAAUGCGUACACAGCUGGAGAUUUCUGAGGCUUCCGACAAAAGGACAAGAGAAGCCUUGCUGCAUUCUUCCGCCGGGAGGGUGGGCAAAAGAAUGGACACUUUACUCAUUCCACUUGAACUGCUUUGCGGUAUUUCGAGAGCAGAUUUCACGGAGAAGAAAGUUCAUCUACGCUGGCAAAGAAGACAGCUAAAUCUUCUAGAGGAAGGCCUUGUCAAUUUUCCUGCUGUAAGUUUAGAGCACAAUGAUCGCCAAGCUGGCGAGUUGAGAACAUUAAUAGCUAAGAUAGAGGAAGCAGAGACACUACCAUCCCCCGCGGGUCCAGCACAACAUGCCGAGGCUUUGAAAGCGUUAAGAGGUGUUUCAUUAGCGUUGGCAGAAAGAGCUAGCAGAGGGGAUCAGAUUGGGGAAGUUUGUCAUUGGGCUGAUGGCUAUCAUCUAAACGUUCGAAUCUACGAAAGGUUGCUCAGCAGUACGUUUGAUAUUCUGGAUGAAGGACAGCUAAUCGAGGAGGCAGACGAGAUCCUUGAGCUUCUCAAAUCUACAUGGAAGAUAUUAGGAAUCACUCAAACUGUGCAUAACACCUGUUAUACAUGGGUCCUUUUCCGUCAGUUUGUCAUCACUGAUGAAGUCUCGCUUUUACAACAUGCUGCACAACAAAUGAAAAGAAUAGCAUCUGAUAGUCAACGCAGCGCACAAGAAAGAGCGUAUAUGAAGAGCUUGCGGUCUACCAUUGUUUUGAAUGGCACGUCCCAAGAUCUUUCUUUUGUUCAAUCUAUAGUCGAGCCUAUCAAGACUUGGGUAGAGAAGCGGCUUAACGAUUACCACCUGCAUUUUUCCGAGGACGCAGCGAAAAUGGAACAGUUUAUUACGUUGGUUAUGAUCGCUGGAAGGUUAAUAGCAGAAGAGGACGAAAAGACCGAAAUAACGAGAAUGACGUCGGCAGCAAAUCAAGCAGCUAUUGCUAAACAGGCAGAGGAGUAUAUUUGGUCCUCAGUAAAACUCGCUUAUGAGAGGGCUUUGGAAGGUGUGGAUGCUAAAUCUGAAGCAGAGCACGAUCAUCCUCUGGCUUUGCUCGCGGAAGAUGUGGAAGCUCUUGCCAGGAAAGAUGCUUCAACCUUUGCCCCCAUUUUGUCUCGCUGGCAACCGCAAGCCAAAGCUAUCACUGGCUCUCUCUUGCAUACGCUGUACUACAAAGAACUGAAACCAUUUCUAGACGGUGUAUCUCACUUGACAGAUGACGUUGCGUCUGUUCUUCCUGCUGCUGAUAGCCUGGAUCGCUACUUGACCGAACUUGUUGGAGCUGUUGAUGAUGGUAACAACGUUUAUCGCCAGCAAAUGACUUUUUACGAGGUGGAAAAUCUGUCAGCAACUCUUAUCAUGCGUUGGGUAAACGCUCAACUGAGCAGAUUGUCUGACUGGGUUGAUCGUACUGUUCGUCAAGAGAAAUGGGAGCCCUUGUCCAUGCAAAAGCGGCAGGGGGAAUCAGUCGUUGAGGUUUUUCGCAUUAUAGACGAGACCGUUGAGCAAUUUUUUGGUUUGAAGCUUCCAAUGAAAAUUUCUCUUUUGAAAGGUCUAACAAACGGCUUAGACAAUGCACUACAGUUGUACUGCAAUAAGAUUGUCGGUCAGCUAGGCACCAAAGCUGAUUUAAUUCCUCCUCCACCAAGUUUGACACGUUAUGGUAAAGACACUUCUUUGAAAAUGUUUUCGAAAAAGAGGUUCGUGGAUCCUAGCCUACCGGAUGAUAGGAGGGGGGACGAUAUUAGACUUCUCACAACGUCCAGGCUAUGUGUUCGUCUUAAUUCCAUUUACUAUAUACUCAAUCAAGUGGACGUUCUAGAAGACAACAUCCGAGAUCGAUGGCGUUCUGGAAAAUCAACUAUAAAACCAAAAACUGAGGCAAAUGGAAGAAACGGAGAUGUAAGAGUGAGGCCUCUUGACGAAAUCUCGUCUUCAUUUGAUGGUUCUCGAAAGGCAGCAAAUGCAGCAAUUGACAAGAUAUGUGAAUUCACAGGAACAAAAUUGAUUUUCUGGGAUAUGCGAGACCCAUUCAUCGAUGGGUUGUAUAAAGGAGGCGUUACGGAGGCACGGAUGGAACAAGUUGUUAACAACCUUGAUCCCAUUCUGGGACAAAUUGUUGAAAUGGUGGUAGAAGCGUUGAGAGACAGACUUGUGUUGGGCCUUUUGCAAGCUGCAAUCGAAGGUCUUAUCCGUGUGCUUCUUGAUGGUGGCCCUUCGCGUGCAUUUUCCCAUAAUGACGUGGAUAUGCUGGAGCACGAUCUUAGAGUGUUGAAGAAUUUCUUCAUUGCCGAAGGGGAAGGUCUUCAGAGGGGAGUUGUCGAAAAUGCUGCUGCCCCUGCACAACAGAUUAUCGAGCUAUAUCGACUUGAGACAUAUGUGUUAAUCGAGAACUUUCGUAAAGCAAGCGAUCGGAUGGCAAGCGGUACCAGCGUCCAGCGGACGGGGAUUCGAGCUGCAAGCGACGCAGACACACUGCUUAGAAUACUUUGCCACCGCAUGGACGACGACGCCUCACAGUUUCUCAAGAGACAGUACAAGUUGCCAAAGUCAACGGCUUGAUCACAUCACUCCAGCCAAAUUUUCUCCGUUAGAGAACCUUCUCCUUCAUCUUCUCAUUCGCAUUGUUGUGGAUAGCAUCACGUAUGGAGUCGAGCGCCUCGAGAGCGUAUCUAGCUGCUUUACUCGUUCCUCCAUACGUGCCUCGAGAGCGUAUCUAGCUGCUUUACUCGUUCCACUGUGACUCUUCGAGGCCAGAAGCAAGCAGUUCCAGUCCAGAAAAACGGCAUACUCCAGAUCAUGGUCACCAGUCACGGACACGAAAACUCCAGGCCAGCUUCUAAGUCUCCAAAAUGGCUGCAGCCAAGCAGCGCACAAGUGAAAGAGGUAUCGUUGGGCCUCACGCCCUCAACUUCCAUGGCCUUCAAGAGCUCGAUGCACUCUCCCGAGUGUCCAUUUUGGGCAUACGUCGUCAGCAUCGCGCCCAGUGCUUACUCCGGCAUCUCCACAAUACCCGGGCACCGUCGCUCGCCCAGGGUACAGAGGAUACGAUGCACUUUUCACAGAACCAGUGCCUUUCUUCUAUGGGCAGAUAGUCGUUUACUGUUGAGGUAUACGCUCUCUAUGACAUGAUCCUAGGUGGCAGGAGUGCCACUUCACUGAUCCAGGUGUAGGCUAGAGGCGUGUUUCUUCAUCAUGUAUAUAUAGCUAUGAUAUAUAUGAUUAUCCUGAGAGUCAUCCUUGUC